rnacentral:rRNA from 1 species
GAUGGCAGCAGGCGCGCAAAUUACCCACUCUCAGAACGAGGAGGUAGUGACGAGAAAUAACAAGACCGUUCUCUUCAGAGGCCGGUCAUUGGAAUGGGUACAAUUUAAACCCUUUAACGAGUAUCUAUGAGAGGGCAAGUCUGGUGCCAGCAGCCGCGGUAAUUCCAGCUCUCAAAAUGCAUAGAAUCAUUGCUGCGGUUAAAAAGCUCGUAGUUGGAUCUGUGCUGACCUCCCGGUCCACUUUCGGGUGCGCACUGGUGGGGUUGGCUUUCUGCAGUUUUUGGGCUGGUGCCCUUCACUGGGUACCAGUUCCGGACUGCAAGUUUACUUUGAACAAAUCAGAGUGCUUCAAACAGGCGUUUCGCUUGAAUGUUCGUGCAUGGAAUAAUAGAAGAGGAUUUCGGUUCUAUUUUAUUGGUUUUAUAGACUGAGAUAAUGGUUAACAGAGACAAACGGGGGCAUUCGUAUUGCUACGUGAGAGGUGAAAUUCUUGGACCGUAGCAAGACGAACUACAGCGAAAGCAUUUGCCAAGAAUGUCUUCAUUAAUCAAGAACGAAAGUCAGAGGUUCGAAGGCGAUCAGAUACCGCCCUAGUUCUGACCGUAAACGAUGCCAACUAGCGAUCCGCCGGUGGAUUCCUUGCCCUGGUGGGGAGCUUCCCGGAAACGAAAGUCUUCCGGUUCCGGGGGAAGUAUGGUUGCAAAGCUGAAACUUAAAGGAAUUGACGGAAGGGCACCACCAGGAGUGGAGCCUGCGGCUUAAUUUGACUCAACACGGGGAAACUCACCCGGCCCGGACACCGUAAGGAUUGACAGAUUGAUAGCUUUUUCAUGAUUCGGUGGAUGGUGGUGCAUGGCCGUUCUUAGUUCGUGGAGCGAUUUGUCUGGUUUAUUCCGAUAACGAGCGAGACUCUAGCCUACUAAAUAGUACGCACAUUGUCUCUGUGUGUGUGACUUCUUAGAGGGAUUUUCGGUGUUCAGCCGCACGAAAUUGAGCAAUAACAGGUCUGUGAUGCCCUUAGAUGUCCGGGGCUGCACGCGCGCUACACUGGCAAAAUCAGCGUGCUUGUCCUUCCCCGAAAGGGGUUGGUAAACCCUUGAAAAUUUGCCGUGAUUGGGAUUGGAAAUUGCAAUUAUUUUCCAUGAACGAGGAAUUCCAAGUAAGUGCGAGUCAU